rnacentral:lncRNA from 10 species
CAAGAUCCCUGGGAAAAAUAAACAGCAAUAAAAUUGUUACACCCCUCAACUCAAGAAAAAGGUUUUUAGGACAUUUAGGGAAAGUGUAACAUUCAGACUUCUCUUGGGAGAUGUGACGUUUGGUGGUGGCUAUGAUACAUAUGAUACAUCACCACCGUGUGACCAUCCUACGGGGUGGGAAACCAAAUAUUCGAUUUUUCUUCCUUCUCCAGUCUCUUGCCUGGACUCUCAAUGGCUCAGCUCAGCUAGAAACCAGAAUGUGUAAGAACUCUGUUGAUGUAACUCAUAGAGGUCAAGCUCCCAGGCAGCAGAGGAUAAGUUGAAGAAAGAUCUGGGAGAAGAAAUAUAGAAGAUAAAUCUGGAACACUGUGUGACACAAAAUAAGAAAACUGUGAAAGGAAAACGAGCCAUUGUCAAAAUGACACAUGAGCCAGCUUGAGUGGACUUUCACUAUCCAAAGGCUCGCUCAUGGACCAGUCAGCCUGCACUUCCUCUUCCCUGAGGCCCAUAAAAACCCAGGGCUCAGCCAAAGCUGGACAGAUGAUGGGACACCCAGCUGCAGAGAGGCACUACUGUCUCUGCUGAGAACUGAACACUCCUCAGGAUGACCAGCUGCGGAGAGGAGCUAAACACUUGUUGGGAUGAUCUGCCUGCAAAGAGGAGUUACCCUCGCUGCUUGGAGCCAAACACUCCACAGGACACCUUGGCUGUGGAAAGAGAGCUGCCCCCUGCAGGUCUCCUCUGAGCUGUUCUAUCGCUCAAUAAAGCUCCUCUUCCUCUUGCUCACUUUUCACUUGUCUGCAUACCUCGUUCUUCCUGGUCCCAGGACAAGAACUCAGACCUGUUGAACGGCAAGGCUAAAAGAGCUAUAAAAAACAGGGUGUGAAACAUGCCCAUUGUUCACCACAUUUCAGGAAAAGAGAGGGAGAGAAGAGCUGUGGCCCUGUGAGGAGCCCUGACCUGGGAGCUCCCUGAGCCUGGGCUGUGAAUCACUCUUUGGGGCCCUGAAGUUCCUGGCAUCUCCAAGCUUCUGGGUGCCACUGCAUUCUCCAAACUUCUGAGUGCCACUGCAUUCUCCAAGCUUCGGGGUGCCACUGCAUUCCCCAGUGCUAGCCGUGGUAGCUGCUUGCUGUGUACCUGAUCCUGCCACAGCCUCACAGAUAGCCAGUGUCCGGGAUGGCACCUGGAGCUGUCCAACCCGCUGCAGCAGCCAGCAUGUCUGACUGUGCACAGUGGCCAGACCCCACGCUCACUCACACACUCCUUGCUGCUCCACGCCUGACUUGCCCUUGAUAGGCAUAGGAUCCAGGCUCUGGACAGGCAUGAAAUCCAGGCUGGUAGCAUGAGCCAAGUGUAGCCUGUCAGGCCAAGUGGGCAAAAUGAGCCCAGUGGGCCUGAGCAAAAUUUGGGCAAAGGUACCACCAGCCACAGGACUCUGGCCAGAAAAGCAAUACUCCAAGUAUCCCGUAACAAUAGGUGUGUGUUUAAUAUUUUCAGAACCUUUCAAUUGUUUUCCAAAAUGUUUGGACUAUUUUACAUUCACAUCAGUGGUAUAAAGAGCUCAAGCUCCUACACAUCCUCAC